GCACAGGAUUCCUAAAGAAAUUGGGCACUUUAAGGAGAAAUCCUCAAAGUGGAUCUGCUCAAAUUCGGGGAAAGCUUCAUGGGAGACUAUAUGCCAAUCCCGAGCCAAGCCUCUCUUCAUAUGAGAGGAAGGUGUAGAGACUGAACGGGCAGCACCUAAAGGACAAAAGCUCAAGGUGAAGAGACAGUCCAGACCACAAACAG
rnacentral:ncRNA from 1 species